CCUACGGGUGGCAGCAGUCGAGAAUCAUUCACAAUGGGGGAAACCCUGAUGGUGCGACGCCGCGUGGGGGAAUGAAGGUCUUCGGAUUGUAAACCCCUGUCAUGUGGGAGCAAAUUAAAAAGAUAGUACCACAAGAGGAAGAGACGGCUAACUCUGUGCCAGCAGCCGCGGUAAUACAGAGGUCUCAAGCGUUGUUCGGAAUCACUGGGCGUAAAGCGUGCGUAGGCUGUUUCGUAAGUCGUGUGUGAAAGGUGCGGGCUCAACCCGCGGACGGCACAUGAUACUGCGAGACUAGAGUAAUGGAGGGGGAACCGGAAUUCUCGGUGUAGCAGUGAAAUGCGUAGAGAUCGAGAGGAACACUCGUGGCGAAGGCGGGUUCCUGGACAUUAACUGACGCUGAGGCACGAAGGCCAGGGGAGCGAAAGGGAUUAGAUACCCCUGUAGUC
rnacentral:rRNA from 1 species